UCUGCCUGCACACUAAGGGACAGCAGAAGCCUCCGUGUAAAAUCGGGGAGAAAAAAAAAAUGAAUCCCUAGUCCCUCUCUCCCUACAAUUUUGUGAAGCGUCUCUUAAUAUUCAGAAUAACUGCCGGAGUUACAAUAAACAAACAUCCCUUGACCAGGAAGCAACAGGGAAGCAAGAAAAGGAAGAUGCGAGGACCCUCCAUUCCCUCUGGGACCCCAGGCCCAGCCAGGACUGAGAAGGGCAGCACAGCCCGGCAGACCUGCACACCUGAUGCAAACCAUGCACAUGGCUUCCCUGGGAAGCCCUCACUGGCCGCUGUGGCUCUGGUAGAGGGAGCUCCCUGAACCCCAACACCCACAGUCAGUUUCCUCCUUGCAGGUCUCUGCUGUGACUGCCUGAAGUGCCUCCCUGAUGCUUCUCAUCAUCCGGGUAUGGUGCCCCCUCUAUCCCAUAGCCCUUGCUACCACCCACCCCACCACGAAGCCUGGCACACAGCAGGUGCCUGAGAUGCCCCAAUGGGUGGGCAUGCCAGGGUAGGGCUUGGAGUUCCAAGGGCCACGUCCCGCAUACCACCACAAGCACCGCGGAGGCUGUGGAAGGGGACCAGGCUUCAGGCCUGCACUCAGCUUCUCCCGCCCCCGAGGCCAAGAACCUAGCAAGGGAAGGCAGCCGGAAGCAGGAUUCCAAACCCCCUUCUUGCUCCUCAAGAGGAAAGGGGCCUCAGGGCAAAACCCCACAAGUGCCUUCCUCCUGCCAUGCUGCCUGUCAUAGCACAGACACUGUCACAGCAGGGAAACCCACUCCUGUGAGGAGAAAACCAAGUACCACAGGAGCCACGUCCACUGGCAGCGUCUGCUGAGCCCAGUUAGUGACAACAGCAGCCAGGCCCCCACACAGCAUGCACCGACUCUGACCCGCCUCGCACACCACAAGGUCCUGAAGCUCAGCUUCGACUCAUCAGGGGCCUCUUCCAGGAGAGCUCGGCAUGUCUACCUUCCCUGGGCUCACAGAAAGCUGAGGGACUCAGUCCCGAGUGUGAACAGAGUCAAGCUCCCACUAGCUGUGCAGACAACCUCCCCAGCCCUGGCCUGGGAAGGGGCCAAGCAGAAACAGCCAUCUUUUGCCCGCACAGGUACAGAAUUCAGCCAGCUCUCUCAAUGGAGUCAUGACAGGUCAACUCCAGGCUCCUCAGGGCUCUGGGGUUCACCUCGGGCCACUGCACCUUUGAAAUGUGGCUGCAGACUCCUCUAGGCUGCUCGGUGUCACAGCCCAUUUCAUUCAGACACUGCAGGCCCCAACCCGUGGUGUCACUACCCAGGACACCCCUGCCGGCAUCCUCCGAGAUGCUGCUGCAGCUGCUGUGAUCUGAGAACAGCCACGUGCAGGCAUCAAAGGGAGGGCUUCUCAAGUCUCCGAGAGCAGUGGCUACAGCUUCGGAAGACAUUGCACUGAAUCCUCGGUGAGCCUGGCUCGGUCUGCAAUCUAAGCCGGGUUGCUGGGGAGAUGCACUCUGUUGUAACUGAUGGAGGCUGUUGGUGGCAGCUCUACCAAGACCAAGGAUGGCAACUAAUCUGAGAUUUACAAUCCAUACUUUCUAUCUGAUGUUUACAAGGAAAGCAUCGUGCAAGUUCCAGUAGCAAGAAAUUUUCUAUAAUCUAUCACAUCAGGAUACAGCAGAAAUACCUGGGAUCCAUAUUUGAGCAAGCGGCUCAUGCCAAUACACCCUCCAUGCCAUCGUUUUCCUGACCUCCCCAAGAAGAGCUAGGCCAGGCAGCGUCCCCACACAGGCGCUGGGGCCCAGGAAGAGUCGGGUCCUGCCCCCUUCUCCCUCGUCCCUGCACUUGGCUUGCUGUGGAAGCCCAGCAGUGCUGGCUGAACCCACGUUCACCUGGGGCGUUCAGGAGAAGCCUCUGCAGAAAUCAGCUGGGAAGCAGGGCUGUGUGUGCUGGCAGGUCACUUGAAUGGAUUUGUGCAACUGAGUUUUCAACACAGGUGCUGCCAACCAAGUCCCUCAAGCCCUUCGUGAGCCUAGAGCCACAGAGCCAUUUGCUGCACUCUAUCUCUAACCACCCUGCACAGAAGCCCAGUUUAUCCAAAGGACCAUAAAAUUGUGCGUGGAAACACUUGAAGUUUGGCAUAAUGAAUUAAAAGUGAAGUCACCACAUCUAUUUUCCAUUAAUCCAUGCAUUCAAACAAGUGUCUCUUGAGUAUGUGCAUUGAAUACUGUGGAAUUAGGAUUUAGUCCAUGCCCUCAAGAAAUAUACAUCACAGAGGAAAAGGUAUAGCUUGUAACUGUAACGGUGGUGAACAGGCAAGAAAUAAACAUCAUAGAAGAAAAGGUAUAGCUUGUAAGUGUAACAGUGGUGAACAGGACAGAAUUUCACAGGCUCAUCAGGAACCACCAAGGAGGAAGCGAUGAUUCAUUUCCAUCUGCAGUAGAUAAAUGUUUCCUGGACAAAGUAACUUUUCUACAGUGAUAUCUGCUCCUUAUUGUUUAGAUCUUGCUUGAUAGGGUAUUAAAAUUACCACUUUCUAUGUGCUGCUUAUAUAAAAUACAUCAUUGUCAAGGGAGGUUAUAAGUUAUAAAAUAACUUAAAUACUUCA